rnacentral:rRNA from 1 species
UACGUAGGGUGCAAGCGUUGUCCGGAAUUAUUGGGCGUAAAGAGCUCGUAGGCGGUCUGUCGCGUCGGCUGUGAAAACCUGGGGCUCAACCCCGGGCCUGCAGCCGAUACGGGCAGACUAGAAUUCGGUAGGGGAGACUGGAAUUCCUGGUGUAGCGGUGAAAUGCGCAGAUAUCAGGAGGAACACCGGUAGCGAAGGCGGGUCUCUGGGCCUGUACUGACGCUGAGGAGCGAAAGCGUGGGGAGCGAACAGG